rnacentral:rRNA from 1 species
UGGGGAAUAUUGCGCAAUGGGGGGAACCCUGACGCAGCCAUGCCGCGUGAAUGAAGAAGGCCUUAGGGUUGUAAAGUUCUUUCGGUAUUGAGGAAGGUUGAUGUGUUAAUAGCACAUCAAAUUGACGUUAAAUACAGAAGAAGCACUGGCUAACUCCGUGCCAGCAGCCGCGGUAAUACGGAGGGUGCGAGCGUUAAUCGGAAUAACUGGGCGUAAAGGGCACGCAGGCGGUUAUUUAAGUGAGGUGUGAAAGCCCCGGGCUUAACCUGGGAAUUGCAUUUCAGACUGGGUAACUAGAGUACUUUAGGGAGGGGUAGAAUUCCACAUGUAGCGGUGAAAUGCGUAGAGAUGUGGAGGAAUACCGAAGGCGAAGGCAGCCCCUUGGGAAUGUACUGACGCUCAUGUGCGAAAGCGUGGGGAGCAAACAGGAUUAGAUACCCUGGUAGUCCACGCUGUAAACGCUGUCGAUUUGGGGGUUGGGGUUUAACUCUGGCGCCCGUAGCUAACGUGAUAAAUCGACCGCCUGGGGAGUACGGCCGCAAGGUUA